UAAUACGGAGGGUGCAAGCGUUAUCCGGAUUCACUGGGUUUAAAGGGAGCGUAGGAGGGCAGGUAAGUCAGUGGUGAAAUCUUCGAGCUUAACUCGGAAACUGCCGUUGAUACUAUCUGUCUUGAAUACCGUGGAGAUGAGCGGAAUAUGUCAUGUAGCGGUGAAAUGCUUAGAUAUGACAUAGAACACCAAUUGCGAAGGCAGCUCGUUACACGAAUAUUGACUCUGAGGCUCGAAAGCGUGGGGAUCAAACAGGAUUAGAUACCCUGGUAGUCCACGCCCUAAACGAUGGAUACUCGACAUACGCGAUACACUGUGUGUGUCUGAGCGAAAGCAUUAAGUAUCCCACCUGGGAAGUACGACCGCAAGGUUG
rnacentral:rRNA from 1 species